UAGGGAAUCUUCGGCAAUGGACGAAAGUCUGACCGAGCAACGCCGCGUGAGUGAAGAAGGUUUUCGGAUCGUAAAACUCUGUUGUUAGAGAAGAACAAGGACGUUAGUAACUGAACGUCCCCUGACGGUAUCUAACCAGAAAGCCACGGCUAACUACGUGCCAGCAGCCGCGGUAAUACGUAGGUGGCAAGCGUUGUCCGGAUUUAUUGGGCGUAAAGCGAGCGCAGGCGGUUUCUUAAGUCUGAUGUGAAAGCCCCCGGCUCAACCGGGGAGGGUCAUUGGAAACUGGGAGACUUGAGUGCAGAAGAGGAGAGUGGAAUUCCAUGUGUAGCGGUGAAAUGCGUAGAUAUAUGGAGAAACACCAGUGGCGUAAGCGGCUCUCUGGUCUGUAACUGACGCUGAGGCUCGAAAGCGUGGGGAGCAAACAGG
rnacentral:rRNA from 1 species